rnacentral:rRNA from 1 species
CGGCAGCACGGGAGCUUGCUCCUGGUGGCGAGUGGCGAACGGGUGAGUAAUACCUAGGAACAUGUCCAGUAAUGGGGGAUAACGCAGCGAAAGCUGUGCUAAUACCGCAUACGCCCUACGGGGGAAAGCGGGGGAUUCGCAAGGACCUCGCGUUAUUGGAGUGGCCUAGGCCUGAUUAGCUAGUUGGUGAGGUAAAGGCUCACCAAGGCGACGAUCAGUAGCUGGUCUGAGAGGAUGAUCAGCCACACUGGAACUGAGACACGGUCCAGACUCCUACGGGAGGCAGCAGUGGGGAAUUUUGGACAAUGGGGGCAACCCUGAUCCAGCCAUUCCGCGUGAGUGAAGAAGGCCUUCGGGUUGUAAAGCUCUUUCAGGAGGGAAGAAACGGUUGCGGAUAAUACCUGCGACUAAUGACGGUACCUCAAGAAGAAGCACCGGCUAACUACGUGCCAGCAGCCGCGGUAAUACGUAGGGUGCGAGCGUUAAUCGGAAUUACUGGGCGUAAAGCGUGCGCAGGCGGUUUUGUAAGUCAGAUGUGAAAGCCCCGGGCUCAACCUGGGAACUGCGUUUGAAACUACAAGGCUAGAGUGUAGCAGAGGGGGGUAGAAUUCCACGUGUAGCAGUGAAAUGCGUAGAGAUGUGGAGGAAUACCGAUGGCGAAGGCAGCCCCCUGGGUUAACACUGACGCUCAUGUACGA